CAAGUAUGAAGAGAAUGUCGGGAGAGGAAGUGGUGGCUAUGAGUCAGCAUGAGUCAUCUCGUUCCAAUGAGAAUGAAGGCUGAGGUGUGCGCCUUUUUUUUUUUUCCUUCUUAGUCGUGUGUACAUCAUUGGGAAUGGAGGGAAAUAAAUGACUGGAUGGUCGCUGCUUUUUAAGUUUCAAAUUGACAUUCCAGACAAGCGGUGCCUGAGCCCGUGCCUGUCUUCAGAUCUUCACAGCACAGUUCCUGGGAAGGUGGAGCCACCAGCCUCUCCCUGGUGAGUAUGUUUCUGUCAUUUUUAGGGUUGCUUCUGCAGUUUGCCUUGGAGUCUGGGCUGUGGGAAAGGCUGCUGCGUCCUGGUGAGGACACUGCGUUUCUUUCAGACUUUGAAGAUCUGUCGUUUUAGAAAAGUGGCUGCCUCUGUCACCAGCCCCAUGGUUACUGUCCUGUAGUGUGACUGUCAGGAGGUGUUUCUCAGUCCUUCGUUGUAAGAAUGUAGAUGCCGGUUGCACCUUCUGUUGUCUUGGAAGAGACUGCAGUGCUUGGCUGGAAAAUAAGCUGCUCGGGACUCCUCUGAGAAGCCAAAGUGAAGCUCAGAGAUGGAACCCUAGCAGAUGCUAAUCCAGCGUGCGUCCUGGCAGAGGUUGAAGGGGGCUCCUCAAGUCCCAGGUCCAGCUUGGUGUGGUUCAGCUACUCGAGAGACAUCUGCUGCUAAUGGAUGAGCAGUCAACCUGGACGCAGGAAAUCAUUUUUUAUUUGGAAUAACUGGGAGAUGAAACAGGAAGCUCUAUGACACACUUGAUCGAAUAUGACAGACACUGAAAAUCACGACUCAUCCCCCUCCAGCACCUCUACCUGUUGCCCGCCGAUCACAGCCGGAAUGCAGCUGAAAGAUUCCCUGGGGCCUGGUUCCAACUGCCCACUGUGGACUCUGAGGCCUCUGCAUUUGCGGGUGGUCUGCCUGUGAUAUUUUGGUCAUGGGCUGGUCUGGUCGGUUUCCCAUUUGUCUGGCCAGUCUCUGUGUGUCUUAAUCCCUUGUCCUUCAUUAAAAGCAAAACUAAAGAAAACAGA
rnacentral:lncRNA from 1 species